rnacentral:rRNA from 1 species
CAAUACACUUGUAAAGCGGCGAACGGGUGAGGAAUGCAUGGGUAACCUACCCUCGAGUGGGGAAUAACUAGCCGAAAGGUUAGCUAAUACCGCAUACGUUUCCGGAACUUCGGUUUCGGAAAGAAAGCAAUACCGUGGGUAUUGCGCUCAUGGAUGGGCUCAUGUCCUAUCAGCUUGUUGGUGAGGUAACGGCUCACCAAGGCUUCGACGGGUAGCUGGUCUGAGAGGACGAUCAGCCACACUGGCACUGCGACACGGGCCAGACUCCUACGGGAGGCAGCAGUAAGGAAUAUUGCGCAAUGGACGAAAGUCUGACGCAGCGACGCCGCGUGGGGGAUGAAGGUCUUCGGAUUGUAAACCCCUUUCGGGAGGGAAGAUGGAGUGGGUAACCACUUGGACGGUACCUCCAGAAGCAGCCACGGCUAACUUCGUGCCAGCAGCCGCGGUAAUACGAAGGUGGCAAGCGUUGUUCGGAUUCACUGGGCGUACAGGGAGCGUAGGCGGUUGGGUAAGCCCUCCGUGAAAUCUCCGGGCCUAACCCGGAAAGUGCAGAGGGGACUGCUCAGCUAGAGGAUGGGAGAGGAGCGCGGAAUUCCCGGUGUAGCGGUGAAAUGCGUAGA